rnacentral:rRNA from 1 species
UACGUAGGGUGCAAGCGUUAAUCGGAAUUACUGGGCGUAAAGCGUGCGCAGGCGGUUUUGGAAGUCUGAUGUGAAAUCCCCGGGCUCAACCUGGGAAUUGCAUUGGAGACUGCAAGGCUAGAAUCUGGCAGAGGGGGGUAGAAUUCCAGGUGUAGCGGUGAAAUGCGUAGAUAUCUGGAGGAAUACCGGUGGCGAAGGCGGCAUCCUGGACCGGCAUUGACGCUGAGGAGCGAAAGCCAGGGGAGCAAACGGG